UUUUAAUGCAGUAAUGUUACAUAUUGUACCUUUAAUAUUCUGAUAUCUUUCAACAAGAGUUAAAUAUAAAUAACUUGUUCCCUUCCUGUUGUGUCUCCAGACUGAGUGGCUGUAAUCUGUCAGAGAGAAGCUGUGAAGCUCUGUCCUCAGUUCUCAGCUCCCAGUCCUCUAGUCUGAGAGAGCUGGACCUGAUUAACAACAACCUGCAGGAUUCAGGAGGGAAGCUGAUCUCUGUUGGACUGACGAGUCCGCACUGCACACUGGAGACUCUCAGUCUGUCAGGCUGUCUGAUCUCAGAGGAAGGCUGUUCUUCUCUGGUCUCAGCUCUGAGCUCCAACCCGUCCCAUCUGAGAGAGCUGGACCUGAGCUACAAUAAUCUAGGAGACUUUGGAGUGAAGCUACUGUCAGCAGGACUGAAGGAUCCUCUCUGGAGACUGAACACUCUCAGGUUAUCAACCUACUAACUAACUAAUCAACUAACUGACUAACUGGAAUUAAAUAAAAGAAGUCAGAAGAAAAUCGAGUUGUCCCUUGCGUCCUUUAGUCCUUAAAGAGGCCUUUUUCAAGUUUGGGCAAAGAGCUGAAGUGUGAACCAUACACAACUUGACAGUUGAUAACCGCACCGUGGCAGUGAAGACAAAAGGAUUAACGGCCUGAAGUCAGGAAAGCUGUCGUCGCAGAGAGGAGGAUUGACUGACAUCUCAACAUGGCGGAGGAAGCUCUUGGGAAAACAGUGAAGGAGCUGAAGCAAAAAAGAACUUUAGCUAAAAGGCGUUUUACCAAGCAGCAAACUUCCUCAGCAGAGGCGCAAAACACAUGACUAAAAGAGAACUACAAGAGGAGUUCAAGAAGCUCACGUCAGAGGCGAGGAAGGUCAGUGAGACAAAUAACGAAUACAGGGCUGGCCUUCUGGCAGUCAUUGAAGCUGAAACCGAUGAGGGUGAAGAAGCAGAACUGAGCAAGCAGCAUCAGACUGAACUUGAGAAGACGUUCCAAGAAUGCAAAGCACGAUUGGAUGAGGUCAGGGAGAAGAUCCAGUCCAAUCUAUGGCCUAGAUAUGGCAAAAACGAGGUCAAGUCUGCAAUCCAUGAAGCUGAGACAGCCUGUGAUGGAGUUGCUCAAAUACCUGAAUGUUACAGCUGUAAACAGAGAUGGCUACGAGCUACGGUGGGAUAGUGCGAAAACACAAGUCCAAAAUGCAUUCACAAGCCUAGCAGAGUGGGAGAUGUGAAUUCCAGUGGCAGAAAAGGAAUUGAAAAAUUCUGCAAGCGUUGUGAUCUCCAGCUCUCUUUCCUCACUCAGAGUCAUUUCGUUGCCUCCUGGUUGACAAUUGCCGCACCGGCAUCCUCCACACUUCGGUUCGCAAGCUGCUCCAAUGCUGUCCCAUUCCCACCAAUCCAAGAACUAUCUGCGAGCAACUGUGCUUUUGGUUUCAGCUGUGCACUCUUGUGUUUUAGUUAUCUCUUGAUACUUUACAGCGGUUGCUCUCAUGGAUCGAGGAAAUUAUGUUUCAGACCUGAAUAAACAGAUCUGGAUGUGCUCCACCAACAGUCUUUCCUAGCGGGCUCUCCCAUAAGACAAGGUCUCCAAUCACCUUCACUCUUUGCGGCGCAAGUCUUCCUUCGCGGUGGCUUAUCAGUAGUUAAAUUCUCUCCGGUCUCCUCAGAUCUCCUAGAUUGAUUUCUGGGAAGAACUUCUUGAGUUGCUCAGGUUUGAUGACUCUGUGGAUGUUGGGAAUUUCAUUCAAACCAUAGCAGACAAGCUCUGUGCCUCUUGGCAUUUUGAUCCUCACUCUGAGGAGAUAACCUUCACGGCCAUUCCUCCAACUCCUUGGACGACUAAAGUGAUGUUUUCACUUCGGAGAUUUAAUCUCCUGGCAGCUCUGUUGUGAUAUAAUUUGUGUCUGAUGCCAAGUCGAUCAGGGUUCCAAUUGUUUGUCCUGCAUUGGCAGUUACCUCGAGCGGCAUUAGAAUAACUGGCAAUUCUUCUACUACACUUGACGCAAUCUCUCCAAGCUGGAUCUUUUCAACACAGUUCGUCUUUGCGGUGAUGUUGGUGAACACUCUCUUGAAUUUUUCCACCAUCUCUGGGGAGAGCUUAGAAAGGACCAGUAUGGUAUGUCAGCCACUUGGUGGCACCAAACCCACACUCUGUCACAACACCUGUGCGACUGGUAUGGAACAGCAGCUGGAAGUUUAAAGGGGUCAGCAUGAAUGACCUGCUGCUAAAAGGGCUUGAUGUACUCAAUCCCAUCUGAGCAGUACUACUCAGGUUCAGAAGAGGUGUCCAUGCUGCUCUUGGAGACAUCAAAAAGAUGUACAAUUUGGUGUGGUUAGAAGACCUGGAAAUGCACCUCCACAGAUUUCUCUGGAGAAACACUGAGGAGGAAGAGAUUGAAGAGUAUGCCAUCACCAGAGUCAACAUUGGCGAUCGACCAGCAGGGUGCAUUGCACAACUGGCCAUGAGAGAGACAGCAAAACUGCCCAUGUUUGCUCACCUGGAGGAGGAACGUAGGAUCCUUGAAGAGGAUGCCUAUGUCGAUGACAUCCUGACUUCCCAUAAUGACUUACAAAAGCUGGACAAGAACACUAAAAGAAUUUAAGAGAUCCUGAGGACAGGCGGAUUCUUCCUCAAACCCUGGGUCCGGUCAGGCCAAAGUGGGAGGCAGGAGAUCGUACCAGGAGAACAAGGAGCAGAGUCAAGCACAGUACUCUUUCUCCCAAACCAGAUGAGGAAAGGAGACAAUAAAGCCCUCGGAGUUGGAUACCUUGUUGAAGAGGAUAAACUGUACCCUAUGACUUCAAUCAAUUUCUCAAAGAGGAAAAAGAAGAUGACCGUCGGAAAAAAUCUCCUUGAUGAAGAGGUGAGAGGGAAAACUCCAAACCCACUGAUGAGAAGAGAACUGCUAAGCCAAGUAGCUAGCCUGUAUGACCCAAUAGGCCUCGUCACACCUGCCACAACAAAAGGGCGCCGUUCUUGUCAGAAAGGCGUUUCAAGAAGCUGGAGGCAAAACUGUGACCUGAGACACGUGGGACAAACCUCUGUCUGAAUAAUUGAGAGAAGAAGCCAUCUAACUGUUUGAGGAAUACACACGUCUUGGCCAAAUCACCUUCCACAGAAGCCUCACACUAGUCAACUGGAUUGGAAAACCAUGGGGAAUAACAUUCUCUGAUGGAAGUGAUAAGAGCUAUGGAGCCGUAGUGUACUUCAGAUGGGGAACUGAGCAAGGCAUCCAAGUAUCAAUGGUGAAAUGUUUGGUGAAAAAGCAUUUCACUGGAAUUCCUUCAUGGAAGAGGAGACUCUCAUUCAGACACAUUCAGCUCAUUUGGGAUUCUGGAGAUGCAACCGCCCGAAUAUGAAAUGAGUAAAUGCCAACCCUACCCCCUCCAACCCUGUGAGUGAUGUAAUGCCCCUCCCCCCCC